rnacentral:lncRNA from 1 species
UUUAUUGUUGGUCGUCCUGGUGUUCUUCCAUUGAUGGCAACGACAAGCAUUCGAUAACAAUCAGGGGAUUUAAGCUCGUACUUCACCACCUCCCAUUCAUAACGGUGCCUCAAUAGUAGGAAUACUUUUAAAGAAACAAAAACACACAAAGCCAGCAUAUUUUUUAACAUAAACCCAGAAAAGGCUCAACUGUAACGUCUUAAUCCCGCGUCAAA